GGCGGCAGGCUUAACACAUGCAAGUCGAGCGGUAGCAGAUCUAGCUUGCUAGAUGCUGACGAGCGGCGGACGGGUGAGUAACGCGUAGGAACCUGCCCAGUAGUGGGGGAUAGCCCGGGGAAACUCGGAUUAAUACCGCAUACGCUCUACGGAGGAAAGAGGGGGCUUCGGGCUCUCGCUAUUGGAUGGGCCUGCGUGAGAUUAGCUAGUUGGUGAGGUAAUGGCUCACCAAGGCGACGAUCUCUAGCUGGUCUGAGAGGAUGAUCAGCCACACUGGGACUGAGACACGGCCCAGACUCCUACGGGAGUCAGCAGUGGGGAAUAUUGCACAAUGGGCGCAAGCCUGAUGCAGCCAUGCCGCGUGUGUGAAGAAGGCUUUCGGGUUGUAAAGCACUUUCAGUGGGGAGGAAGGCCUCGUAGUUAAUAGCUGCGAGGAUUGACGUUACCCACAGAAGAAGCACCGGCUAACUCCGUG
rnacentral:rRNA from 1 species